UACAGAGGGUGCGAGCGUUGUUCGGAAUUAUUGGGCGUAAAGGGCGCGUAGGCGGUGCGGUAAGUCACCUGUGAAAUCUCCUGGCUUAACUGGGAGCUUGCAGGCGAAACUGCCGUGCUGGAGUGUGGGAGAGGUGCGUGGAAUUCCCGGUGUAGGCGGUGAAAUGCGUAGAUAUCGGGAGGAACACCUGUGGCGAAAGCGGCGCACUGGACCACAACUGACGCUGAGGCGCGAAAGCUAGGGGAGCAAACAGG
rnacentral:rRNA from 1 species